GAUGAACGCUGGCGGUAUGCUUAACACAUGCAAGUCGAACGGACUCUUCGGAGUUAGUGGCGGACGGGUGAGUAACGCGUGAGAAUCUGGCUUUGGGUUCGGGACAACCACUGGAAACGGUGGCUAAUACCGGAUGUGCCGAGAGGUAAAAGAGAAAUUGCCUGGAGAUGAGCUCGCGUCUGAUUAGCUAGUUGGUGAGGUAAAGGCUCACCAAGGCAGCGAUCAGUAGCUGGUCUGAGAGGAUGACCAGCCACACUGGGACUGAGACACGGCCCAGACUCCUACGGGAGGCAGCAGUGGGGAAUUGUCCGCAAUGGGCGAAAGCCUGACGGAGCAAUACCGCGUGAGGGAAGAAGGCUCUUGGGUUGUAAACCUCUUUUCUUAGGGAAGAACAAAAUGACGGUACCUAAGGAAUCAGCAUCGGCUAACUCCGUG
rnacentral:rRNA from 1 species